AUUGAACGCUGGCGGCAGGCCUAACACAUGCAAGUCGAACGAGUGGCGGACGGGUGAGUAAUGUCUGGGAAACUGCCCGAGGGAGGGGGAUAACUACUGGAAACGGUAGCUAAUAACGCAUACCAUCGGAUGUGCCCAGAUGGGAUUAGCUAGUAGGUGGGGUAACGGGUCACCUAGGAGACGAUCCGUAGCUGGUCUGAGAGGCGGAACAGCCACACUGGAACUGAGACACGGUCCAGACUCCUACGGGAGGCAGCAGUGGGGAAUAUUGCACAAUGGGCGCAAGCCGGAUGCAGCCAUGCCGCGUGUAUGAAGAAGGCCUUCGGGUUGUAAAGUACUUUCAGCGGGGAGGCGUUACCCGCAGAAGAAGCACCGGCUAACUCCGUGCCAGCAGCCGCGGUAAUAC
rnacentral:rRNA from 1 species